AAAACAGCCCUACGGGAGGCAGCAGUGGGGAAUAUUGGACAAUGGGCGAAAGCCUGAUCCAGCCAUGCCGCGUGAGUGAUGAAGGCCUUAGGGUUGUAAAGCUCUUUCAGCUGGGAAGAUAAUGACGGUACCAGCAGAAGAAGCCCCGGCUAACUUCGUGCCAGCAGCCGCGGUAAUACGAAGGGGGCUAGCGUUGUUCGGAAUCACUGGGCGUAAAGCGCACGUAGGCGGAUCGAUAAGUCAGGGGUGAAAUCCCGAGGCUCAACCUCGGAACUGCCUUUGAUACUGUCGACCUUGAGUCCGGGAGAGGUGAGUGGAACUCCGAGUGUAGAGGUGAAAU
rnacentral:rRNA from 1 species